GCUGAACUUAAGCAUAUCAAUAAGCGGAGGAAAAGAAACCAACAGGGAUUGUCUUAGUAACGGCGAGUGAAGCGACAAAAGCUCAAAUUUGAAAUCUGGCGCCUUCGGUGUCCGAGUUGUAAUUUGAAGAAGGUAACUUUGGUUUUGGCUCUUGUCUAUGUUCCUUGGAACAGGACGUCACAGAGGGUGAGAAUCCCGUGCGAUGAGAUGCCCAAUUCCAUGUAAAGUGCUUUCGAAGAGUCGAGUUGUUUGGGAAUGCAGCUCUAAGUGGGUGGUAAAUUCCAUCUAAAGCUAAAUAUUGGCGAGAGACCGAUAGCGAACAAGUACAGUGAUGGAAAGAUGAAAAGAACUUUGAAAAGAGAGUGAAAAAGUACGUGAAAUUGUUGAAAGGGAAGGGUUUGAGAUCAGACUUGGUAUUUUGUAUGUUUUACUCUCGGGUGAGGCCUCUGCAGUUUACUGGGCCAGCAUCAGUUUGGAUGGUAGGAUAAUGACAUUGGAAUGUGGCUCUUCG
rnacentral:rRNA from 2 species